rnacentral:rRNA from 1 species
CAGGCUGAAACUCGCCUGCGUGAAGUUGGAAUUGCUAGUAAUCGCGGAUCAGAAUGCCGCGGUGAAUACGUUCCCGGGUCUUGUACACACCGCCCGUCACACCAUGGGAGCCGGAAACGCCCGAAGCCAGUGGCCUGACCGAAAGGAGGGAGCUGUCGAAGGCGGGUCCGGUGACCGGGGUGAAGUCGUAACAAGGUAUC